UACGGGGGGGGGCAAGCGUUGUUCGGAAUUACUGGGCGUAAAGGGCUCGUAGGCGGCCAACUAAGUCAGACGUGAAAUCCCUCGGCUUAACCGGGGAACUGCGUCUGAUACUGGAUGGCUAGAGGUUGGGGAGAGGGAUGCGGAAUUCCAGGUGUAGCGGUGAAAUGCGUAGAUAUCUGGAGGAACACCGGGUGGCGAAGGCGGCAUCCUGGACCA
rnacentral:rRNA from 1 species